rnacentral:rRNA from 1 species
UACGGGGGGGGCAAGCGUUGUUCGGAAUUACUGGGCGUAAAGGGCUCGUAGGUGGCCAACUAAGUCGGACGUGAAAUCCCUCGGCUUAACCGGGGAACUGCGUCCGAUACUGGAUGGCUUGAGUUUGGGAGAGGGAUGCGGAAUUCCAGGUGUAGCGGUGAAAUGCGUAGAUAUCAAGAGGAACACCUGAGGUGAAGACGGGUUGCUGGGCUGACACUGACGCUGAGGCGCGAAAGCCAGGGGAGCAAACGGG